rnacentral:rRNA from 1 species
AGUGAACGCUGGCGGUAGGCCUAACACAUGCAAGUCGAACGGCAGCACAGUAAGAGCUUGCUCUUACGGGUGGCGAGUGGCGGACGGGUGAGGAAUACAUCGGAAUCUACUUUUUCGUGGGGGAUAACGUAGGGAAACUUACGCUAAUACCGCAUACGACCUACGGGUGAAAGCAGGGGAUCUUCGGACCCUGCGCGAUUGAAUGAGCCGAUGUCGGAUUAGCUAGUUGGCGGGGUAAAGGCCCACCAAGGCGACGAUCCGUAGCUGGUCUGAGAGGAUGAUCAGCCACACUGGAACUGAGACACGGUCCAGACUCCUACGGGAGGCAGCAGUGGGGAAUAUUGGACAAUGGGCGCAAGCCUGAUCCAGCCAUACCGCGUGGGUGAAGAAGGCCUUCGGGUUGUAAAGCCCUUUUGCUGGGAAAGAAAAGCAGCAGGUUAAUACCCCGCUGUUCUGACGGUACCCAAAGAAUAAGCACCGGCUAACUUCGUG